rnacentral:lncRNA from 1 species
AAGAAAUUGCUUCCAAAUUAAAUUGGUAGCUUGGGAAGGUCCCUUGGUGUAUUUUAGAAGUGUUUGGGUGAAAUCGGAGCGAAAACGAAAAAUUUAGAAUUUUCUGUAAGGAACGGGACUAAGAAAAUUAGCAGAAAAUGUACAGUGUCAGAAAAUUACGAAAAUUGGCAGAGAUGUCAGGAACAUUAUUAUAAGGCUAGUUUUGAAGUUUCAGAUUUUUCUGACACCUGUAGAGAGAGAAAUAGCAUCCGAAAGUUAUCUGAUGAAGAUUACAGUUCGGGACAGUUCGCAGUAACCAAACGGGGUCGAAACUGAAAUGUUAAAAUUUCAGUGGACUUGUUAAGUAAAAACGAACAUUCCUGCCAAAUUUGAGCUCAAUCGGACUUUCGGAAGAGCCUACGAAAGGUAUU